rnacentral:lncRNA from 1 species
GAUUUACCCGGUGAGAGUGUCGCGUGGUGAAGUUCAGGUAUGCUAUGUUUCCAGCAUGUACCAAUUGGCAGAUGUCUUUACCAAACCAAGGCUUUAUCUUCUGCUAAGUCCUCUUCGGUCCAAGCUGAAGGGGAGGAACUACACGAAGCUUGAGGGAGCUGUUAGACCAUAUAUAUCUUUGUCAUACACCGAUCUAUAAAGAUAGAAGCAAGCCUAGUUAGGCUUGAUGUGCCUAAUAUUAUUCUAUCACUAUACCAGGGAUGCCGAUGG